GUCUCCGUAGCUCAGUGGUCAGCGUCUUGUAAUUGCCUUUUCUUACAGCGUUUUGAGUUUCUCCAGCGAAUUUGAUUUAAGGCAGCGUAGAAAGACGUCGGUUCGAAUCCGACCGGGGAUA